AUACAAUGCGGUGGGCAUAGAGCGAACUAUUCUUUCGCCUUUUACUAAAGAGAACAUUGUGUGCUCACCGCUAUAAAGCGGCAUAUGCCUAUUUUUGGAGACCCUUCAUUCGUGGUGGGU
rfam:Cucumis sativus cultivar 9930 chromosome 7, whole genome shotgun sequence.